ensembl:lncRNA
AAUACGCGUUCAAUAAUCAGAUAACGCUGAGAGGUAAACCUGAGACCCGGGCAGUUGGAAUGUGGGCAGAUUUUGAGAUAUGAGAAAUAAAGACAGCUCGUCGGAUGAUUCAAUGAACACGUCACAUCAACACGUGUGUGACAUGUGUUACUUAUCUAAAUGGAGAAAAACAACAUGGAAGUCAAGUUGUCACACAGUGACAUUUAUGGACUCUCUCUCCCCGCCCCCCUCUCUCUCGCUCUACCCCCAACAUUCCACACAUGCGGAGAAGCAACAAGCUACCAAACGAGCAGCAACAGCUAGCGGCUAUUCUCCGCUGGGGGGGGACGCGGUGCAUUAACGGUGCAAAAGUUUCGAAACACGGGUUCCUGGUGCUGAAUACAGACAAGAGCGACGCCGGGCGAAUCCUGAGACGGCUGCCGGAACCAUGGCUGACAGCUGGCGUUUGUAACGGCGAGUUAUUUGACGUUAUUUGACGCUUCAAAUGUGCGGAAAGUCGCUCGCUCUCGCCUCGUCGCCGAACAAGAUGGACGCAGCGGCAGCAACGCCGUCGUUGCAGGAUCUGACCGCGGUGCCGUCCCCCGAAGCGCUGGGUGCUGCGAUUAAUGGCUACCACUGAAGGCCUGGUCUUGUGUCCCUGCGGGAUAUCAGGCUACCUGUGCUUGGCAGUAAGAGGCCAGCUCCGUGACCUGCCAGCAGCCUCUCCCUCAAUGACCGGCCAUGGCCUCUUGUCAAGCGCACACCGGCUGAUAGGGCUUCUUCUGUUGCUUUCACUGGGACUUUUGUCAGUUGUAUGAGCAAGGCAGUGAUCUCCAAUGGCAACCUGCUUGCUGUCUUUCUUUGGCGAUUUAGUUUUGGAACGUUUCAUUUUACAGCCUUUCCUGGUCGUGAGAAACCAAGUGUGCUGCAUUGUGGUGUUGAUGCCGAGGCACACCCCUGCGCUUGUCUCAACCUGUGUUUGGCUGCAUCUUCGGUUAUUUCUUUGGAGGGCAAAAAAAACGUGC